rnacentral:rRNA from 1 species
CUGCUGCCUCCCGUAGGAGUUUGGGCCGUGUCUCAGUCCCAAUGUGGCCGUCCACCCUCUCAGGCCGGCUACUGAUCGCUGCCUUGGUGGGCCGUUACCCCGCCAACUAGCUAAUCAGACGCGGAUCCAUCGUAUACCACCGGAGUUUUUCACACUGCCCCAUGCGGAGCCGUGCGCUUAUGCGGUAUUAGCACCUAUUUCUAAGUGUUAUCCCCCGGUAUACGGCAGGUUAUCCACGCGUUACUCACCCGUCCGCCACUAA